rnacentral:lncRNA from 1 species
CGCAGAUAUACGCAGUAUUUACUGCUGCUGGUAUUUAGGCUGUGAAAUUACAAGGCGCAACGCGAUGGCAUAAAGCAAGAGUGAGGGAACAGCACGCGCGCGGUAUUGCUGUGGUAGCGCUACAUCCACGGGGCUCCAAGUCGGUGUUCGCCACGAGGCUCACAGCUUCUUUGGAGUUAACAGAAGAUCUGAGGUUUGACAGAUGCGUCCAAGUGGAGAAACCUCAUGAAGCGCGGAAAAGGAGAAGGCUCCUCCAGCUUUCCUUGGUCUACGGUGGAUAUGUAGAUGAACAUCCCUGGUCUCAACACAGAAGCACCUUCAACCUCAGUCUUGCCAGAGAGCCAACUCUGAGAGGUGUUCCGUUUCAUAAAUAGGGCCAAAACACAGAAUACCACAUCAUUGCUUUCAGCUGGCAUUGUGUUAUACUUCCAACAUUAUAUCUUUGUUAUUUAGCAAUCAUUCAUUUCAUUGCAAUGUUUUGAUGCUUAGUCAACACUUCUGCCCAAAGUGACAUAUCACUUUACCUGGAUGUUUUUACUGUAGCAGCUUGUCUCAAGUGCUUGUCUCAAGAUUUCUGCAGCAGGGCUCCUCCUGGGACUUGAACCAGCAACCUUCAAAUCACAACCCAUGUCCUGUAAUGCUGUACUGCCUGCGGGCCCUUGUAGACUUCGUGUUACUGUAUAUAUGGGAAUCAGCGAGCUGUCUGGUUUCUGAGCUGAGCCAGAUCUCCUGUUAACCAUUUUAUAGACCACUUUUUAACCCACUUUCCUGCCUUGUAUUCAUACUUCCUCUCUCUGUUUCCUCCAGUUUGACAUUUUUGGGGAGGAGGUAUGCAUUGUGGGUAGCAGUGGUUCGUGCCCAGUGAAAGCUGUUCAUCUAAAGAAUCGCAGCCUGUGCUACGUGUACUGUUACUGGGAGACAUGAGGCAAAAAAAUCGGAGUCAAUGUCAAACGUUUCUCACGUAGAACAGUUCUGUUCGAGUUAUUGACAAAGCGUGGUUGUGGAUCAGAAGUCAUUUUGUGGACUUUGGCACUGAAGCAACAGCUGCCUAAUGCUGGUGGGCACAGACCGGGAGGGAGCGAGUGGGCGACACAAGAAACACCAAAGGCUUCCUUUGCCUACCACGAGGAGCACAGUGUGUGCGUCGCUGUUUUUUCGCUCCUCAUACCACACGAAUAGUCAGUGCAAGGUGGUUUAAGUGGUAGUGCAGCUCUCAGGACCUGUGUGUGGCGUAUUCUUUGUUGCGCACUGUGGUGGCGAGUGCUGCCAGUUUGAUCGUCAGUCCGACUCGCGCAUCAUCCUACGUUUGACAGAGAGAUUCGGAAGAGUACUGAAUGAAAUUCAAAUUUGAAUGAAAAACAGUACGGAGAUGCCUUAAACUGAGCACAUGCUGGAAAACCAUUUUGCACUAAGCGUAUGCAGUGUGUCGCACUUCACACUAAAUAAACCAUAUGGUUUAAUAAUGCCGC